UAAUAGAGGAGGAUGUGCUUGUGUUGGA
rnacentral:piRNA from 1 species